GUCGAGAAUCUUUCACAAUGGGGGCAACCCUGAUGGAGCGACGCCGCGUGGAGGAUAAGGUCUUCGGAUUGUAAACUCCUGUCAUGCGUGAACAAGGUUGCUUGGUUAAUACCUGGGCAAAUUGAUGGUAACGCAAGAGGAAGAGACGGCUAACUCUGUGCCAGCAGCCGCGGUAAUACAGAGGUCUCAAGCGUUGUUCGGAAUCACUGGGCGUAAAGGGUGCGUAGGUGGCGUGGUAAGUCAGAUGUGAAAGCCCGGGGCUCAACCUCGGAACUGCAUCCGAUACUGCCAUGCUAGAGUACUGGAGAGGUGACUAGAAUUCUCGGUGUAGCAGUGAAAUGCGUAGAUAUCGAGAGGAAUACCAAAGGCGUAGGCAGGUCACUGGACAGUUACUGACACUGAGGCACGAAGGCCAGGGGAGCGAACGGGAUUAGAUACCCCGGUAGUCC
rnacentral:rRNA from 1 species